rnacentral:ncRNA from 1 species
CGCCAUCUCAUGGGGUGUUGCGGUUUAUUCCGCUUCUGAGAUUAUACCCAUCGAACCUGCCCGGAUAAUGCCGGGAAGGAAUAGAGGAACCAAUCAUUU